UAUAAAUUAAAAAAAAUGAUUCAUUUUAAUUUAAUUUUUGAAUUUGAUUUUUCAAUCUAAACAAUUCGAUUCAAUCAGUCUCAUUUUGCUGCAUUUUAUUGUCAAUGGCCAAUUAUCUCACAGUUCUCCCCACUCAAUUCUCGACUUGUCUGUUGAUCUUGACUGAUAUAGUUGCUCUUGCACCUCAUCUUUACAAGAAAUAAAUAUGACCCUUGUAACAUUGAUAUUCAAUCGCAAGCUGUGAUAA
rnacentral:misc_RNA from 1 species